AAUAUGCAUGGAAGCACCGUGAAGCACAGAGGGAAUCAAAGCCAAAUGACUAAAGGAGAGAAGGAAAGAAAGAAAAAAGGAGUGAAGAAGAGGAAGACAGAAAGAAAAAGAGGGAGAGAGAACGGGAAUGCUGCUUUAUUCUAAAAAUGGGUAUUGAAAAUCUCUUUUAUGCCAAUAAUUGUGCUUAAUAACGACCGAUCAAGAUUUCA
rnacentral:lncRNA from 13 species